GCUAAACCACUGAAGUAUGUCUGCAGAGCUGUAAGGAAGGAAUUUGACAGAAGCCCCUUUAAGGGAGAUCACAAUAUCUUGGAUACAUCCAUCAGGCACAUUCUACUCUCCCCACUGUUUCUUUUUGGGAAGGAAAUACAGACUGGAAAUCUCAGGUUGAGAGGCUGCUGGUUCCUCAAGUGUCUUGACAAGAGGAAUCCUCAUCUCCCAGCACAACAGAGUGGCCAAGAUCUGCAGCCAAGUACAGGAAAUCCUGUUUUUCAGUAAAGAUUAAUUUCAUUGUUAUGUCCUGUAAGGUUGCAGCUCACUGAAAGGCUGCUGUACCUCUGCAUUAUUCUUAUGCUAUUCAGCUAUUGUGUUCAGUAUGAGAAAUAAAGGGGAAAAAAUGGGGACUUCUUUUUUUUUAACAUUAUUUUCCACUACAAUAAAUUCUGGAAUUUGCUAA